CUAGGUAGUCAGAAAGGUUUCCAUUGGCCACCUGGGUGUUGGAACGUCCCAGCUUAGCAGUGUAGCUCCCCAAUUGUGUAAUGCUAUUGUUAAAGUGUAUCAUUUGUUACCCUCAACUUUUCAGCCCUAACUUUCAGCCCUAACUGUCAACAACUGUCUAGUUGUUGAGCCCAUGAUCUAUACCAGGACCAAAGACAUGACCGACAAGGAAGCCUGACCAGAUCUCCACCCACUAUCUAAAGUUUGGGGCAUCCACUAGGACUUUGUUUACGCAAUUGCAGCUUUUAUUUUUUAUUUUCUCCUUUUUUAUUUUUUCUCUUUUGCUUUACUCAAUUCUUUACGCUGUGGGCAAAGGAGUGAAUUCCAGAAUUGACAAAGUGGUGUGGAUUGACCAUGGGGAGCUGGAGGCUGCGGACAGGCUCUACUACUAUAAGUUAUUUGUAAGUACGUACCUGCUCAUGUAUUUAAAAGCCUGAGUACCAGCGGACUUACGUCACCGAUGGGACUGAUGACGCCCGUGUGUAUGAAACGGACUCCGUCGCCCUAUGCACGCUACUGCCUACG